rnacentral:rRNA from 1 species
CAGUAGCCGCGGGAAUACAGAGGGUGCGAGCGUUAAUCGGAUUUACUGGGCGUAAAGCGUGCGUAGGCGGCUAAUUGAGUCGGAUGUGAAAUCCCCGAGCUUAACUUGGGAAUUGCAUUCGAUACUGGUUAGCUAGAGUGUGGGAGAGGAUGGUAGAAUUCCAGGUGUAGCGGUGAAAUGCGUAGAGAUCUGGAGGAAUACCGAUGGCGAAGGCAGCCAUCUGGCCUAACACUGACGCUGAGGUACGAAAGCAUGGGUAGCAAACAGGAUUAGAUACCCCCGUAGUCCCUGUCUCUUAUAC